GAUGAACGCUGGCGGCGUGCCUAAUACAUGCAAGUCGAGCGAACCGAUUAAGAGCUUGCUCUUAAGAAGUUAGCGGCGGACGGGUGAGUAACACGUGAGUAACCUGCCUAUAAGACUGGGAUAACUCCGGGAAACCGGGGCUAAUACCGGAUAACAUUUUGCACCGCAUGGUGCGAAAUUGAAAGGCGGCUUCGGCUGUCACUUAUAGAUGGACCUGCGGCGCAUUAGCUAGUUGGUGAGGUAACGGCUCACCAAGGCGACGAUGCGUAACCGACCUGAGAGGGUGAUCGGCCACACUGGGACUGAGACACGGCCCAGACUCCUACGGGAGGCAGCAGUAGGGAAUCUUCCGCAAUGGACGAAAGUCUGACGGAGCAACGCCGCGUGAGCGAUGAAGGCCUUCGGGUCGUAAAGCUCUGUUGUUAGGGAAGAACAAGUGCGAGAGUAACUGCUCGUACCUUGACGGUACCUAACCAGAAAGCCACGGCUAACUACGUGCCAGCAGCCGCCGUAACAC
rnacentral:rRNA from 1 species